rnacentral:rRNA from 1 species
AGUGAACGCUGGCGGCGUGCCUAAUACAUGCAAGUCGAACGAAUUGGCGCACGGGUGAGUAAUCUAUAGUUAAUCUGCUCUAUACAGUGGACCUACAGUUGGAAACGGCCGUUAAUACCUCAUAGUGUAGGAUGAGACUAUAUCGUAUCAGCUAGUUGCUAAGGUAAUGGCUUACCAAGGCUAUGACGCGUAACUGGUCUGAGAGGAUGAUCAGUAACAUUGGAACUGAGACACGGUCCAAGCUCCUACGGGAGGGAACAGUAAGGAAUAUUACGCAAUGGGGGGAACCCUAACACAGCAACGCCGCGUGGAAGAUGGCACUUUUCGGAGCGUAAACUCCUUUUUUCAGGAAAGCGGUACCUAAUGAGAAAGCACCGGCUAACUCCGUGCCAGCCGCCGCGGUAAUUC